UACAGAGGGUGCAAGCGUUGUUCGGAAUUACUGGGCGUAAAGCGCGUGUAGGCGGCGGCGUAAGUCGAAUGUGAAAGCCCUUGGCUUAACCAAGGAAGUGCAUUCGAUACUGUGUCGCUUGAGUACCGGAGGGGAUGGCGGAAUUCCUGGUGUAGAGGUGAAAUUCGUAGAUAUCAGGAGGAACGACCUGUGGCGAAGGCGGCCAUCUGGACGGUGACUGACGCUGAGACGCGAAAGCGUGGGAUAGCAAACGU
rnacentral:rRNA from 1 species